rnacentral:rRNA from 1 species
CGGAGCUAACGCGUUAAGUAGACCGCCUGGGGAGUACGGUCGCAAGAUUAAAACUCAAAUGAAUUGACGGGGGCCCGCACAAGCGGUGGAGCAUGUGGUUUAAUUCGAUGCAACGCGAAGAACCUUACCUACUCUUGACAUCCAGAGAAGCCAGCGGAGACGCAGGUGUGCCUUCGGGAACUCUGAGACAGGUGCUGCAUGGCUGUCGUCAGCUCGUGUUGUGAAAUGUUGGGUUAAGUCCCGCAACGAGCGCAACCCUUAUCCUUGUUUGCCAGCGAGUAAUGUCGGGAACUCCAGGGAGACUGCCGGUGAUAAACCGGAGGAAGGUGGGGACGACGUCAAGUCAUCAUGGCCCUUACGAGUAGGGCUACACACGUGCUACAAUGGCGCAUACAGAGGGCAGCAAGCUAGCGAUAGUGAGCGAAUCCCAAAAAGUGCGUCGUAGUCCGGAUUGGAGUCUGCAACUCGACUCCAUGAAGUCGGAAUCGCUAGUAAUCGUGAAUCAGAAUGUCACGGUGAAUACGUUCCCGGGCCUUGUACACACCGCCCGUCACACCAUGGGAGUGGGCUGCAAAAGAAGUGGGUAGUUUAACC